rnacentral:rRNA from 1 species
GGUGAACGCUGGCGGCGUGCCUAAGACAUGCAAGUCGAGCGGGGCAGGUUUAUACCUGUUCAGCGGCGGACGGGUGAGUAACGCGUGUGUGACCUACCCGGAAGAGGCGGACAACCUGGGGAAACCCAGGCUAAUCCGCCAUGUGGUCCUGUCCUGUGGGGCAGGACUAAAGGGUGGAUAGCCCGCUUCCGGAUGGGCCCGCGUCCCAUCAGCUAGUUGGUGGGGUAAAGGCCCACCAAGGCGACGACGGGUAGCCGGUCUGAGAGGAUGGCCGGCCACAGGGGGACGGAGACCCGGGCGCCACUCGUACGGGAGGCAGCAGUUAGGAAUCUUCCGCAAUGGGCGCAAGCCUGACGGAGCGACGCCGCUUGGAGGAGGAAGCACUUCGGGGUGUACACUCCUGAACUGGGGACGAAAGCCCCGUGUAGGGGGAUGACGGUACCCAGGUAAUAGCGCCGGCCAACUCCGUG